GAUGAACGCUGGCGGCGUGCCUAAUACAUGCGAGUCGAGCGAACAGACGAGGAGCUUGCUCCUCUGACGUUAGCGGCGGACGGGUGAGUAACACGUGGAUAACCUACCUAUAAGACUGGGAUAACUUCGGGAAACCGGAGCUAAUACCGGAUAAUAUAUUGAACCGCAUGGUUCAAUAGUGAAAGACGGUUUUGCUGUCACUUAUAGAUGGAUCCGCGCCGCAUUAGCUAGUUGGUAAGGUAACGGCUUACCAAGGCAACGAUGCGUAGCCGACCUGAGAGGGUGAGCGGCCACACUGGAACUGAGACACGGUCCAGACCCCGACGGGAGGCAGAAGUGGGGAAUAUUCGACAAGGGGCGAAAGCCUGAGGGAGCAACGCCGGGGGGGUGAAGAAGGUCUUCGGAUGGUAAAACUCUUUUAUGGGGAAAGAAAAAAGGUAAAUGAAUAUCCCCCCGUUUGGACGGGACCUAAAGAAAAAGCAACGGCUAACUUCGUG
rnacentral:rRNA from 1 species